rnacentral:lncRNA from 1 species
AUUGUAUUGUAUUUUUGCAAAACCGAUCGGUGAAAUAUGUCGGCGACACAACUUUAGCUAUCAUGGGUAUGCUGAUGACACGCAAGUCUACCUAGUUAUCAAACCACUCGAUAAUUGGGACAACAUAUCUUCCCGUCUAGAGACUUGUUUAGCUGACAUUAGUAAAUGGAUGUGCUUAAACAUGCUGAAACUGAACCAAGAC